rnacentral:tRNA from 1 species
GAGAGAUUAAUUAAAUUUUAUAAUAUAAGCUUGUCAUGCUUAAAUUACUAUUUUGUAGUAUCUCUUU